ACACCCCAAGCAGUGAGACAGAAUGGGGGAAAGAAUACAUGAAAUCACAUUGUAGGAUUUCGAAUAAAUUAAUUGGUAAAUUCCUUGGUAAAAUAAGUAUUUGGUCACCUACAAACAAGCAAGAUGUCUGGCUCCUCUCAGACCAACAACUUCUUC